UGUAAAAUUCUAAGGGUCGAACAGACCCAAUAUUUUAGCUCCUACACCAAAAAUUCAUUUUAAUCCAACAUCGAGGUCGCAAUCUUUUCUUUUAAUAUGAACUUUCUAAAAAAAUUACGCUGUUAUCCCUAAGGUAAUUUUAUCUUUUAAUCAAAAUUAUUGGAUCAAUUAUUCAUAAAUUAACGGUGUAAAUAAAAAAAAGUUAAUUAAAUUUUUCAAUCACCCCAACUAAAUUAUAUUUUUAAAAUAAUAAGUAAAUACUUAAAUAAUAUUAAAAAAAAAAUAAUAAAACUCUAUAGGGUCUUCUCGUCUUUUAACAAUAAUUAAGCUUUUUAACUUAAAAAUAAAAUUCUAUUUAAAUUUAAUAGAGACAGCUAUUUUUUUAUUCAACCCUUCAUUCCAGCUCUUAAUUAAAAAACUAAUGAUUAUGCUACCUUAGCACGGUCAAUAUACCACGGCCAUUUAAAAUUUCAGUGGGCAGGUCAGACCUUAAAUUAUAAACAAAAGGAC
rnacentral:rRNA from 1 species